CUUCGGAGGAGUUAGCGAAAUUCCAAUGUGUGCGAAUCUGCAAAAAAUGCGAAAUAACCCUUUAACCGUACAUUUUACAGAUACGUGGCCAUUGACUUUUUCGAAGAUCUUAUUGAAAGACACGUGUAUGUAAAAUUUUGUGUCAAUACGACAAAACAUACAGGCGUAGCACUCAACAAUGUGUAUUUUCACCUUAGUGGACAAGAAAAAAUGGACUUUUUUCUCCUGCCAUGGGGGGGCGCUCUUUUGGGGAGUAAAAAUUCCUUCACAAAUGUGUUGAUGGCUGGACAUUGCAUCAUCCUAGAAAACUUGGAGGCCAGUGGGGACAAAAAUAAAAAGUUAUAAGACUUUUAAAUAUGUGGAUCUUGGGGUUAUCUUUGGCGCCCCCUAGAACCUAAACCGUGGGGUGCAGCGUCAUGAUUUGAAUAACUUUUAAUGGCCAUGGGGUGUAGAUUGGCCUGAGCAAAUGUGGUGCCGGUGGAACGAAAGCCUUCGGAGGAGUUAGCGAAAUUCCAAUGUGUGCGGAUCGGCAAAAAAUGCGAAAUAACCCUUGAACCGUACAUUUGACAGAUACGCCCGCACUGACUUUUUUGUAGAUCUUAUUGAGAUACAUGUGUGUGUCAAUUUUUGUGUCAUUUUGACAAAGCGUACAGGCGUGACAGUCAAUAGUGUGAAUUUUCACCUUAGGGGGCGCUAUGGAGCCAUUUUGCAUUUUUUUGUUUGGGCGACUUCGGAAUAUCAAAUUUUUCACCAGGCCCGGUCGUCCUGCCAAAUUUCAUGAGUUUUCGCCAGUGGGAAGUGGGCCAUUUUCCAGUUCAAAGGGGAGGAAAAAUAACUAGGGCCCCGUUGGGGCACUGGCGGGCCCGAGCCGUGUCGCGCCACCCCCAGCGCGACCGCCUACCCCUCCCGAUUGCGUCACACUCAAGGUCCAAAGAUGGUGUGCGCACUUGUCUGUGGUCAUUUACCAUUAUAAUGAAUGGGAGGCGCAGUUUCUACCAAAACGCUCGCUGCAGACAAACUCCAUGUCCUUUUUGAAAAAAGUCUGGACCAUGAGUGAGGGCACAAACACAGCUAGUAUAUAUCCAAAUGGCAAGUUGCUCCUCCUUUCGGUUUUGCCGAGAGAGCAAUGCGUUUGAGCCAUUGAGCGAUGGGCAGGAAAAACUUGACUUUUUCUCCUGCCAUGGGGGGGCGCUCUUUUGGGGAGUAAAAAUUCCUUCACAAAUGUGUUGAUGGCUGGACAUUGCAUCAUCCUAGAGAACUUGGAGGCCAGUGAGGACAAAAAUAAAAAGUUAUAAGACUUUUAAGACUGUGGAUUUUUGGGUUAUCUUUGGCGCCCCCUAGAACGUAAACCGUGGGGUGCAGCGUCAUGAUUUGUACAACUUUGAAUGGACAUGGGGUGUAGAUUGACCUGAGCAAAUUUGAAGCCGAUGGGACAAAAGCUUUAGGAGGAGUUAGCCACAUUCCAAUGUGUGCGAAUCGGCAAAAAAUGCGAAAUAACCCAUUAACCGUACAUUGAACAGAUACGCUCGCAUUGACUUUUUCGUAGAUCUUAUUGAGAUACAUGUGUGUGUCAAAUUUUGUGUCAUUUUGACAAAGCGUAAAGGCGUGACAGUCAACAAUGUGUAUUUUCGCCUUAGGAGACAAGAAAAAAUGGACUUUUUUCUCCUGCCAUGGGGGGGCGCUCUUUUGGCGAGUAAAAAUUCCUUCACAAAUGUGUUGAUGGCUGGACAUUGCAUCAUCCUAGAGAACUUGGAGGCCAGUGAGGACAAAAAUAAAAAGUUAUAAGACUUUUAAGACUGUGGAUAUUUGGGUUAUCUUUGGCGCCCCCUAGAACGUAAACCGUGGGGUGCAGCAUCAUGAUUUGUACAACUUUUAAUGGCCAUGGGGUGUAGAUUGGCCUGAGCAAAUUUGGUGCCGGUGGAACGAAAGCCUUCGGAGGAGUUAGCGAAAUUCCAAUGUGUGCGGAUCGGCAAAAAAUGCGAAACUAGGGCCCCGGUGGGGCACUGUCGGGCCCGAGCCGCGUCGCGCCGCCCCCAGCGCGACCGCCUCCCCCUCCCGAUUGCAUCACACUCAAGGUCCAAAGAUGGUGUGCGCACUUGUCUGUGGUCAUUUCCCAUUAUAAUGAAUGGGAGGCGCAGUUUCUACCAAAACGGCCGCUGCAGACAAACUACAUGUCCUAUUUGAAAAAAGUCUGGACCAUGAGUGAGGGCACAAACACAGCUAGGAUAUAUCCAAAUGGCAAGUUGCUCCUCCUUACGGUGUUGCCGGGAGAGCGAUGCGAUUGAGCCAUUGAGCGAUGGGCAGGGUUAACUGGACUUUUUCUCCUGCCUUGGGGGGGGGGGGGGGUGGAUUCUUUUAAGAAUGUGGAUAUUUGGGUCAUCUUUGGCGCCCCCUAGAACGUAAACCAUGGGGUGCAGCGGCAUGAUUUUUACAACUUUGAAUGGCCAUGGGAUGUAGAUCGGCUUGAGCAAAUUUGGUGUCGGUGGGAAGAAAGCCUUAGGAGGAGUUAGCCACAUUCCAAUGUGUGCGAAUCGGCAAAAAAUGCGAAAUAGCCCUUUAACCGUACAUUUUACAGAUACGUGCCCAUUGACUUUUUCGUAGAUCUUAUUGAGAUACACGUGUGUGUCAAAUUUUGUGUCAUUUUGACAAAGCGUAUAGGCGUGACAGUCAACAAUGUGUUUUUUCACCUUAGGGGACAAGAAAAAAUGGACUUUUUUCUCCUGCCAUGGGGGGGCGCCCUUUUCGGGAGUAAAAAUUCCUUUACAAAUGUGUUGAUGGCUGGACAUUGCAUCAUCCUAGAAAACUUGGAGGCCAGUGAGGACAAAAAUAAAAAGUUAUAAGACUAUUAAGAAUGUGGAUUUUUGGGUUAUCUUUGGCGCCCCCUAGAACGUAAACCGUGGAGUGCAGCGUCAUGAUUUGAAUAACUUUUAAUGGCCAUGGGGUGUAGAUUGGCCUGAGCAAAUUUGGUGGCGGUGGAACUAAAGCCUUCGGAGGAGUUAGCGAAAUUCCAAUGUGUGCGGAUCGGCAAAAAAUGCGAAAUAACCCUCUAACCGUACAUUUCACAGAUGCGCCCGCACUGACUUUUUCGUAGACCGUAUUGAGAUACACGUGUGUGUCAAUUUUUGUGUCAAAAUGACAAAGCGUACAGGCGUGACAGUCAAUAGUGUGAAUUUUCGCCUUAGGGGGCGCUAUGGAGCCAUUUUGCAUUUUAUUGUUUGGGCGACUUCAGAAUAUCGAAUUUUUCACCAGGCCCGGUCGUCCUGCCAAAUUUCCUGAGUUUUCGCCAGUGGGAAGUGGGCCAUUUUCCCCUUCAAAGGGGAGGAAAAAUAAGAAGAAAGAAAGAAAGAAAGAAAGAAAGAAGAAAGAAAAACCUAUACAGGAAUAAUAGGGCUCUACGCCCGGCUGCUCUGCAGCUGGCUCGGGUUCUUUUAAGAAUGUGGAUAUUUGGGUCAUCUUUGGCGCCCCCUAGAACGUAAACCGUGGGGUGCAGCGUCAUGAUUUUUACAACUUUGAAUGGCCAUGGGGUGUAAAUUGGCCUGAGCAAAUUUGGUGUCAGUGGGACGAAAGCCUUAGGAGGAGAUAGCCACAUUCCAAUGUGUGCGAAUCGGCAAAAAAUGCAAAAUAGCCCUUUAACCGUACAUUUUACAGAUACGCGCGCAUUGACUUUUUCGUAGAUCUUAUUGAGAUACAUGUGAUUGUCAAAUUUUGUGUCAAUAUGACAAAGCGUACAGGUAUGACAGUCAACAAUGUGUUUUUUCACCUUAUGGGACAAGAAAAAAUUGACUUUUUUCUCCUGCCAUGGGGGGGCGCUCUUUUGGGGAGUAAAAAUUCCUUCACAAAUGUGUUGAUGGCUGGAUAUUGCAUCAUCCUAGAAAAAUUGGAGGCCAGUGAGGGCAAAAAUAAAAAGUUAUAAGACUUUUAAAUAUGUGGAUUUUAGGGUUAUCUUUGGCGCCCCCUAGAACCUAAACCGUGGGGUGCAGCGUCAUGAUUUGAAUAACUUUUAAUGGCCAUGGGGUGUAGAUUGGCCUGAGCAAAUGUGGUGCCGGUGGAACGAAAGCCUUCGGAGGAGUCAGCAAAAUUCCAAUGUGUGCGGAUCAACAAAAAAUGCGAAAUAACCCUUUAACCGUACAUUUGACAGAUACGCCCGCACUGACUUUUUUGUAGAUCUUAUUGAGAUACAUGUGUGUGUCAAUUUUUGUGUCAUUUUGACAAAGCGUACAGGCGUUCUACAGGCGAUUUCAGAUUUUGCAUUUUCUUGUUUGGGCGACUUCGUAAUAUCAAAUUUUUCACCAGGCCUGGUCGUCCUGCCAAAUUUCAUGAGUUUUUGCCAGUGGGAAGUGGGCCAUUUUCCAGUUCAAAGGGGAGGAAAAAGAAGAAAGAAAGAACUAGGGCCCCGUUGGGGCACUGGUGGGCCCGAGC